rnacentral:rRNA from 1 species
GAUGAACGCUGGCGGCGUGCCUAAUACAUGCAAGUCGAGCGAACAGACGAGGAGCUUGCUCCUCUGACGUUAGCGGCGGACGGGUGAGUAACACGUGGAUAACCUACCUAUAAUACUGGGAUAACUUCGGGAAACCGGAUCUAAUACCGGAUAAUAUAUUGAACCGCAUGGUUCAAUAGUGAAAGACGGUUUUGCUGUCACUUAUAGAUGGAUCCGCGCCGCAUUAGCUAGUUGGUAAGGUAACGGCUUACCAAGGCAACGAUGCGUAGCCGACCUGAGAGGGUGAUCGGCCACACUGGAACUGAGACACGGUCCAGACUCCUACGGGAGGCAGCAGUAGGGAAUCUUCCGCAAUGGGCGAAAGCUUGACGGAGCAACGCCGCGUGAGUGAUGAAGGUCUUCGGAUCGUAAAACUCUGUUAUUAGGGAAGAACAAAUGUGUAAGUAAAUAUGCACGUCUUGACGGUACCUAAUCAGAAAGCAACGGCUAACUACGUG